rnacentral:rRNA from 1 species
GAUGAACGCUGGCGGCGUGCUUAACACAUGCAAGUCGAACGGAAAGGCUCCUGCUUGCAGGGGUACUCGAGUGGCGAACGGGUGAGUAACACGUGGGUGAUCUGCCCUGCACUUCGGGAUAAGCCUGGGAAACUGGGUCUAAUACCGGCUAGGACGAUGGUUUGGAUGCCAUUGUGGAAAGUUUUUUCGGUGUGGGAUGAGCUCGCGGCCUAUCAGCUUGUUGGUGGGGUAAUGGCCUACCAAGGCGUCGACGGGUAGCCGGCCUGAGAGGGUGUACGGCCACAUUGGGACUGAGAUACGGCCCAGACUCCUACGGGAGGCAGCAGUGGGGAAUAUUGCACAAUGGGCGCAAGCCUGAUGCAGCGACGCCGCGUGGGGGAUGACGGCCUUCGGGUUGUAAACUCCUUUCGCUAGGGACGAAGCGCAAGUGACGGUACCUGGAGAAGAAGCACCGGCUAACUACGUG